ensembl:lncRNA
CUGCCAAUCCUCCUCUUUUAGCUGAGGAAGAUUGGCCCUGAGCUAACAUCUGUGCCCAUCUUCCUCUACUUUAUAUGUGGGACACCUACCACAGCAUGGCGUGCCAAGCAGUACCAUUUCUGCCGCCGUGAUCCGGACUGGCGAACCCCGGGCCACUGAAGCGGAACGUGCACACUUAACUGUCGCGCCACCGGGCCAGCCCCUGGGUUUUCACUUCUGAGAGGUUGACGCAGGUGCUUUCGCAGUUCACAGGCCUCUUCACUUAGCUGCUGAUUCAUCUCACUGAAAUGGGGCAGCAGCCAGGCCUGCCACUGAUCCAUCUUCCCCUGGAUCCUGCCUCAGCUCCUUUCACUUCUAUACCAGGACCCUUGCCAUUCUGUGUUUUCUGUAGCUACCCAUAUCACUAGAACUAAUUAUUAUCAAGGAUCAGAGAAGGAGAAAGACCCGGAUAAAGGAAAGUAAAGAAAGUUUCCUCUCAGGGGCCAGCCUGGUGGCACAGAGGUAUCAUUGGCAAUGUUGGUUGGUUGGAUUUGUAACAUCAUCAGUAGAAUGAUCACUCACAAGAAAAGAGAUUCAGAGGAAGCACAUCAUGAUCCCUUUGAAGAAUCACUACAUUCCAGAAUAAUCCCAUCCAGUGUUCUGAGGAGUCCGUCUCACCCCUCUGGGUGUCUUAUAAAAAUUAAAUUAGGAAAAAAAAGAAAAUGUACACAAUGUUGAGACCUGCUUUGAAUCCUAAAUUGAACAUAAAGUUGCGUAUAUGUAAGUUCUUGCCCCCAUCAUAGUGUUUCUUAAAGUAUGAAUGAAUAAACAGACAAAAUUUCAAAAGCAAGAAAAAAGAUCAAGUUAUGUUAAGUGAAAAAAUUGGACUAUUAAAACUAUGGUCAUUAUGGUAGAACUGGUUUUAUGUUUAUAGUAAUUAAAAUUCAUACAAGAAAGGAGUGAGAGGAAAUAUGUCAACAUAUUAGCAGUGGUAAACCCUGGACGACAGGAUUGCAGGUGAUUCUUAUAUGGAAAGUUUGUGAUUUACUGCCAGGGGAUCUUUUAGGGGUAUCCUGAACCACUUCCAUAUUGGUAUCCAUGUGAAAUUGUGCAAUUAUUCUCUCUCUCAUGGGCUCCGAACUCAAUUUUAUUCACAUCUAGGAAAGGGAAACUUUUAGGAGGAAACAAUCCCUUGGUCUCCUUCCCCUACCUCUCUCAUUCCGACUUAUCAAUUGACAUAAAUGCUAAUCACCGAUUUUCUCUGAGGCCUUAGGCAAAUCUCACAUUGGCAUUUACAGAUUCAUUAUUUGAAUAAUUAAAUGUUAAUUAUAAUUCUUAGUUUAUUCAAUAUAGCAUAGGACACUUUGACUUAUUUUCCUUAAUUGACCCCAUAAUUUUGAUUUAUGUUCUUCAUCCAAAGUUUACUGCCUGAUAAAUGUUUAAUAAUUAUGCCAUUUAGAGAUAUUGAUGCUUAAAAAAUUGCAACCAUUUAUAUCAGGAAAUGAAAAUGCAGUCUAACCAAUUUUCUAUGUGCCGAUGAAAAGUGAAACACUUGAUCCUUUACCUAGGCAUCUCCAAGAGUCCCUAUGCUUGAGCUAUAUAGAGAUAACAUUACAGAUUCAGUGUAAGGAAUAUAUUCUGAUAAAUUUCAAUUUAUUUAUAACCCAUCCAUUUGUUCAACAAAUAUUUGUUGAGGACCUACUGUGUGUCAGGCAAUGUUCUAGGCCUACAGAUAUAGCAAUGAUCAAAAGAGACAAAUCUAUCACCUCAUGGAGUGAACAUUUAGGGGGAGAAUGGGAAAUAAAUAAAUAAUUAUAUAUAAUAUAUCUGGAGGACAUAAGUGGGGAAAGGUGAUAUAAAGUAUUGACAUUGAAAUUUUAACUAAAUUAUUGAACGGAAAAAUCAACAGACGUUGACUUUUUAUUGAGGUUUAACGUAAAAAUAAUAAAAUGUAUAGUUCUUAAGUUUUUGACAGUUCUGAAGUUUGACAACUGUAUAUGCUCAUGCUACAAGUCCUGAAACAAGAUGUAGAACACUUCCGUCUCUCCAUAGUUUCCCUUUUCUAGUACCAGGAAAUCCUUCUUUCCACUCCCAUAAGCAGCUUCUGUUCUGAUUUCUGUCACUCUAGCUUAGUUUUGCCGGUUCUUUGACUUCAUAUUUGUGAGAUUGUACAGUAUUUAUUUGUGUCGUGUGUAUGCGUAUGCACAUGCACGCACUUGUGUUUGCCUAGCUACUUUUGCUCAAUGUAAUAUUGGUACGAUUCAUCCAAGUUGUGCACAUAUCAAUAGUUUGUUACUUCAUAUGGCAGGACAGUGUCCAGCAUGAGUUUUCAUAAUUUUUUGAUUCACUGUCCUGUU